AUUGAACGCUGGCGGCAUGCCUUACACAAGCAAGUCGAACGGUAACGCGGGGCAACCUGGCGACGAGUGGCGAACGGGUGAGUAAAGCAUCGGAACGUGCCCAGUAGUGGGGGAUAGCCCGGCGAAAGCCGGAUUAAUACCGCAGACGACCUACGGGUGUAAGCGGGGGACCGUAAGGCCUCGCGCUAUUGGAGCGGCCGAUGUCAGAUUAGGCAGUUGGCGGGGUAAAGGCCUACCAAGCCGACGAUCUGUAGCUGGUCUGAGAGGACGACCAGCCACACUGGGACUGAGACACGGCCCAGACUCCUACGGGAGGCAGCAGUGGGGAAUUUUGGACAAUGGGGGCAACCCUGAUCCAGCCAUGCCGCGUGCGGGAAGAAGGCCUUCGGGUUGUAAACCGCUUUUGUCAGGGAAGAAACGCGCUGAGCUAAUACCUCGGCGUAAUGACGGUACCUGAAGAAUAAGCACCGGCUAACUACGUGCCAGCCGCCGCCGUAA
rnacentral:rRNA from 1 species